CAGGCCUAACACAUGCAAGUCGAGCGAACGGACGAGAAGCUUGCUUCUCUGAUGUUAGCGGCGGACGGGUGAGUAACACGUGGAUAACCUACCUAUAAGACUGGGAUAACUUCGGGAAACCGGAGCUAAUACCGGAUAAUAUUUUGAACCGCAUGGUUCAAAAGUGAAAGACGGUCUUGCUGUCACUUAUAGAUGGAUCCGCGCUGCAUUAGCUAGUUGGUAAGGUAACGGCUUACCAAGGCAACGAUGCAUAGCCGACCUGAGAGGGUGAUCGGCCACACUGGAACUGAGACACGGUCCAGACUCCUACGGGAGGCAGCAGUAGGGAAUCUUCCGCAAUGGGCGAAAGCCUGACGGAGCAACGCCGCGUGAGUGAUGAAGGUCUUCGGAUCGUAAAACUCUGUUAUUAGGGAAGAACA
rnacentral:rRNA from 1 species